AUAAUGACGGUACUUGAGGAGGAAGCCCCGGCUAACUACGUGCCAGCAGCCGCGGUAAUACGUAGGGGGCUAGCGUUAUCCGGAUUUACUGGGCGUAAAGGGUGCGUAGGCGGUCUUUCAAGUCAGGAGUGAAAGGCUACGGCUCAACCGUAGUAAGCUCUUGAAACUGGGAGACUUGAGUGCAGGAGAGGAGAGUGGAAUUCCUAGUGUAGCGGUGAAAUGCGUAGAUAUUAGGGGGAACACCAGUUGCGAAGGCGGCUCUCUGGACUGUAACUGACGCUGAGGCACGAAAGCGUGGGGAGCAAACAGGAUUAGAUACCCUGGUAGUCCACGCUGUAAACGAUGAGUACUAGGUGUCGGGGG
rnacentral:rRNA from 1 species